rnacentral:rRNA from 1 species
CCUACGCGUGGCAGCAGUAGGGAAUCUUCCACAAUGGGCGAAAGCCUGAUGGAGCAACGCCGCGUGGGUGAAGAAGGUCUUCGGAUCGUAAAACCCUGUUGUUAGAGAAGAAAGUGCGUGAGAGUAACUGUUCACGUUUCGACGGUAUCUAACCAGAAAGCCACGGCUAACUACGUGCCAGCAGCCGCGGUAAUACGUAGGUGGCAAGCGUUAUGCGGAUUUAUUGGGCGUAAAGGGAACGCAGGCGGUCUUUUAAGUCUGAUGUGAAAGCCUUCGGCUUAACCGGAGUAGUGCAUUGGAAACUGGGAGAGGUGAGUGCAGAAGAGGAGAGUGGAACUCCAUGUGUAGCGGUGAAAUGCGUAGAGAUAUGGAAGAGCACCAGUGGCGAAGGCGGCUCUCUGGUCUGUAACUGACGCUGCGGUUCGAAAGCGUGGGUAGCAAACAGGAUUAGAUACCCUAGUAGUC